rnacentral:rRNA from 1 species
UAGUCCACGCCGUAAACGAUGAGUGCUAGACGUUGGAGGGUUUUCCUUCAGUGUUGAAGCUAACGCAUGAAGCACUCCGCCUGAGUAGUACGGUCGCAAGAUUAAAACUCAAAGGAAUUGACGGGGGCCCGCACAAGCGGUGGAGCAUGUGGUUUAAUUCGAUGCAACGCGAAGAACCUUACCUGGAUUUAACAUCCCGGGACCGCUAUGGAGACAUAGUUUUCUCUUCGGAGGCCCGGUGAUAGGUGCUGCAUGGCUGUCGUCAGCUCGUAUCGUGAGAUGUCGGGUUAAGUCCCUUAACGAGCGCAACCCUUAUCCCUAGUUGCUACCAUUCAGUUGGGCACUCUAUGGAGACCGCCGGUGUUAAACCGGAGGAAGGUGGGGAUGACGUCAAGUCCUCAUGGCCCUUACGUCCAGGGCUACACACGUGCUACAAUGCCGGUACAGAGGGUCGCCAACCCGCGAGGGGGAGCGUAAUCUCACAAAACCGGUCUCAGUCCGAAUUGGAGUCUGCAAUUCGACUCCAU